GGGGCUGACUUGGAUUUCGACAGAUUUCUUGUCGCACAGAUAGCAUGCCAAGUGCUGCUUGUAAAACAGCAACAAAAAUAACUGUAAACAACACAGAUUACGCUCCAGCUUACGCUAAAGCUGCGUGAGUUAAUCUCCUUUUGGAGCUGGACUGAUUGAAAUUUCUAGCGUUUUAAUCACUCCAUAACCUUAAGCUAGACGCUUUUAAAAGGUGGUUCGCCUUUUAAACUAAGAAACAAGAACUCUUGAAACUACCUCAAGGUUUUAGAAAGUUGGACCAGAGCUAGUUUUAAGGCUAAAAACUAACCAAUUUUCUAAGCAUUGUAGAAGUUUGUGUUUAGGACAAGAUUUUUGGACUGGGGUUCGAUUCCCCACAGCUCCACCA
rnacentral:tmRNA from 1 species